GGGACCCAUGCAGACGACAUUAGCGAUCCGGGCUCAUCUAACGUGAUAAGAUCAUUGAUGAUAUUCGUUUGUAGUCCGCGAAGUGCAGCUCCUCGGCUUCGCCACAGCACCCAUACAACACGACGGAACUUAACUAUGUAAUCAAGAAGGCUCAACUGAAUCAAAUGCGCAAACCAAUGGAAUAUUGGACCGAUCCCAAUAUCGACGAAAAGUCCCUUAGCCACUCGCCAGUUUUCCCUCUCCAGCACGGAGGAAUGGAUUUUAUUAAUGGCCUACACAGUGGUGGAAAUUUAAGUUUUUAAUUAACAUGCUUUUUUUACGCGUAGAAAGUUUUUAGACUUUGCCGAGGUUUGAACCAUCGACGCAUGUUGUAGCAAAUCAGAUUGCUAACCACUGCGGUAUUCGACCUUAUGUUUAAUAGCAAAUCGUAAGUAAUUAUUCGUUAAAAAAGAUCUUACUUUUUUCCAUUCUUCCUUUUUCCAACAUAUAAACUUAUUCUAAUAGUUUAGGAAAAUCUACUUUCCAGUACCUCCGCGUUGAAUUCAGUUGGAAUUUCAUAUCGACAAAAUCCGCCGGUUGUUGCUCACAUUGAACUUGAUCAUCUCGAGACGGAGUUUUAGGCAGCAAAAGGUGCUGUGUGCUUGGUAAAAACCCAUCCACUCACCGCUAACCCUGAUGGACGCAUCAUGUCGAAAUCCACAAACAAAACUAAGUUGACAUUUGAAGGAAAACGGACGCCACUCAAUUCCCAGUUUGAACGUGGCAUCUGUCACAUGGCUGCUGAGUGGUAGGACAGUCAAUCACUCAAGUGGCUUCUCUUUGGCGUAUUAUUUUCCAUAUGUCUACGUGACUGGAUGCGCGUUUCUUUCACACGUCGUCCCUUUUUACAAAAGGAACAGAGGAGGGAAUCCCCCCCAACCCAUCUAUUGUGGGCCUAUAAAAGACGGGCUUCCCCAUCGCUUAGACAAUCAGUCAACUGUCAAAUCUCCAACAGCAGCAAACUAACCGGUGAGCAAGAUAACCGACAAUUCUUUCAAGUUGAAUUCAACUGUAAUUGUUUCCUAAAAGUCGCAUCACCAGUACAAUGGACGUCCUCAACUCAGUCAACGUUGCUGCCGUUCAAAGCACCUGGGCCGUCAUUAAAUCGGACAUCAGCACUUUUGCUCCCCAAUUCUACGUGGCACUGUUGACUGCUCAUCCGGAAUACCAAGCCAUGUUCCCCACCAUCGCCAAUGUUCCAUCCGGCCAACUGUUGAGCAACGCUGCUCUCAUAGUAAGUCCAAAACACUUUGCAA